GGCAGGAGCAACCUCAGAGAUGCUUGUGGCUUUACAGCAGCAAGGCUCUUUCUCAAGGUCUCUGGACUGAGAGAGAAUUAGGAUUAAUGUACAAGUGCAUGAGGAAGAACUUUGUCAGAGUUUUUUUCCUUCUCUACUACUGAUUUUGUAGUCCCUGUUUAGAAGGAGGCCCUCACAAAGAAGUAGGACUGGAAAAGUGCUCAGAGACUGAUCCCCUCUGGUGGUGACCUGAGCCAUCCUUUUGGACUUCUACUGAGACCCCCUCCUGCCUCCCAGCUCUCAGCUUCUUGAUAUUCAUUGGCUGAGCAGGUGGCUAUCGACAAGGGAGACUCAGGUCCUUUUGUUCUAUUUUUAAGAUAAGACCAAUAAGUCACAAGCAAUCAUGUAUUUGAUUGAUUUUGCUGCUUCUCUGCAAUUAUUGUCUCUGCGCAGUUCCUGAUCCUCUCUAAUGUACUAUUUCUUAUCAAAUACUUGCUGAAUGAUGACUAUGAGCAACUGUUGGUCUGUAGCUCAUUUGAGAGCAUUUUAUUCUCAUCAGUCAAUGUGUCUUAAGGGGCUGGCUAGAAGCAGGACAUCAGUCUUCCAGUGCAGUUGUAGGUGUGACAGUGACAUCACAAAGGCCUGAUGCAGGAUCUCAACGUAUUGGAGGACAGUGGUGACCUCACAGAGAGACUCUGACAUCAGCCAGGCAGGACAGAGGCUCUGCACAAGGCCCUUGUCCAACUUCAGGCAUGACAUGCUGGGGAACCUGCUAGCAGAGUCCCCAAACACAGAUAGUCUCCUAUACAUCUUGGAGGUGAGCUUGGUCAGGAGGGGCAAGGGACAGUUUUACAUUAGUAUAAGGGAACUGUUGGUCCCUUAUUUUAAACUCAGUGGGGGUUUGGUUGGUUGGCUCACAGCAUCAAAAGAAAAGGGAAGCGUCUUUAGAGAAAUCAGGAUCCUGAAACUGACAACCUUCAGGAACUAUGGGAAGAGGCUGCCGUUCCAGGUCAGCCUGGUUGACAGGAUCGCAGCCCAAUGAGGGAGUGAGGAAUCUGGGGAAGAGUUCUGUCCUCUGUCCUCCUGGAUUUUGGCUGGGUCAGACUGAAUGGGACUGAGCUAAGGAGACAACAUGAGCUGGGAGGAGCUGAGCCAGUGACUCAGCCCAGAGGCAGAUCCAUGCUGGGAGAGCUUCAGUCCCUGAUCCUGAGACAGAGCACAGGCACCAGAUCCAUACUGGGAGCGGGGCUGCAGCCACAGAUCGAGAGGGUCCAGAGAAGCAUUCCAGGUGCUGGAGGCAGCACAACAGAGAGUGGAGCUGGGGCAGGAGCACGCUGGAGCUGGGUGUAGCGAGCAGCAGGGGAGAGCAGGAGGGACCCUGGGUAGAGGCCCAGCACGGGGACUCCACAAGACAAGAGGCCUGGCAGGCCAGACUCGAGAGGGGCUGAUGCUGGGGAGAAGGGUCCUGCCACCCAGAGCAACUGUGUGACCUGCAGCAUCCCUGCAGCACAGCCAGGGCCUGGGAUGGAGGCCUGGGACCUACAAGGAACAGACUGAACUGUCCUGACCUCCCAGAGACACUGUGAUGUCUUUGUGUCAAAGUGAGGUGUUUGCCAGGAACUUUUUCCAUUUUUUCUCAUUCUUGCUCUUUUUAAAAAACUGACUGUUGUUUAAUAACUUGUAUUUGCUUUGAACUACAUGUAGUCAUCAGUGGGUCAGGGAAGCGUUCAAUGUGAGGAGAGCACCCCGGAGUACGGACAUCCCAGCCCCUGCCCUAAUUGACCACAAGGUUAGAGGUCAAGCCCCCAUCAAUCUUGGGCCCAGUCCUGUUGGGGUCACAAGGAUUCUGCUAUGCAGGAGGAUGGAAGGGAAGCCCUUGAGGACAGCGAAGCCUCUGGGUGGAGAUGUUAGCAUAAGCUUAUUGGGUAGUCAAGUGGAAUACUCGACUACUCGCUUUCCCCCUCCUGCAAGCAGGGGGGACAGGAGCUGGUGCUGGGUGGAGCUGGCUUAAAAGCCGGUUCUCCCUAGCACCAUCUCCACAGUGCUGCCUCUUCCUCCCCCCAC